GUGGGGAAUAUUGGACAAUGGGCGAAAGCCUGAUCCAGCCAUGCCGCGUGUGUGAAGAAGGUCUUCGGAUUGUAAAGCACUUUAAGUUGGGAGGAAGGGCAGUAAGUUAAUACCUUGCUGUUUUGACGUUACCGACAGAAUAAGCACCGGCUAACUUCGUGCCAGCAGCCGCGGUAAUACGAAGGGUGCAAGCGUUAAUCGGAAUUACUGGGCGUAAAGCGCGCGUAGGUGGUUCAGCAAGUUGAAGGUGAAAUCCCCGGGCUCAACCUGGGAACUGCCUCCAAAACUACUGAGCUAGAGUACGGUAGAGGGUAGUGGAAUUUCCUGUGUAGCGGUGAAAUGCGUAGAUAUAGGAAGGAACACCAGUGGCGAAGGCGACUACCUGGACUGAUACUGACACUGAGGUGCGAAAGCGUGGGGAGCAAACAGGAUUAGAUACCCCUGUAGUCC
rnacentral:rRNA from 1 species